CAAUAGCGUAUAUUAAAGUUGUUGCAGUUAAAAAGCUCGUAGUUGGAUUUCUGGUUGAAGCGACCGGUCGGGCGUUGAUUCGUCUGCACUGGAGUCGGUUUUGGCCAUCCUCUAGGAAAGUGCGUCUGGUAUUAAGUUAUCGGGCGUAUGAUCCUGGUCUUUUACUGUGAAAAAAUUAGAGUGUUUAAAGCAGGCCUUCGCCUUGAAUACAUUAGCAUGGAAUAAUAAGAUAGGACUUUGGUCUAUUUUGUUGGUUUGCAGACCGAAGUAAUGAUUAAUAGGGAUAGUUGGGGGUAUUUAUAUUCCGAUGUCAGAGGUGAAAUUCUUAGAUUUUCGGAAGAUAAACUUAUGCGAAAGCAUUUACCAAGGAUGUUUUCACUA
rnacentral:rRNA from 1 species